CUAAUACAUGCAAGUCGAGCGCGGGAAGCAGAAAGAUUCCUUCGGGAUGACAUCUGUGGAACGAGCGGCGGAUGGGUGAGUAACACGUGGGCAACCUGCCUGUAAGACUGGGAUAACUCCGGGAAACCGGGGCUAAUACCGGAUAAGACUUUAUCUCGCAUGAGAUAGAGAUGAAAGAUGGCUUUUAGCUAUCACUUACAGAUGGGCCUGCGGCGCAUUAGCUAGUUGGUGGGGUAAUGGCCUACCAAAGCGACGAUGCGUAGCCGACCUGAGAGGGUGAUCGGCCACACUGGGACUGAGACACGGCCCAGACUCCUACGGGAGGCAGCAGUAGGGAAUCUUCCGCAAUGGACGCAAGUCUGACGGAGCAACGCCGCGUGAGUGAUGAAUGUCUUCGGAUUGUAAAACUCUGUUGUUAGGGAAGAACAAGUACCGUUCGAAUAGGUCGGUACCUUGACGGUACCUAACCAGAAAGCCCCGGCUAACUACGUGCCAGCAGCCGCGGUAAUACGUAGGGGGCAAGCGUUGUCCGGAAUUAUUGGGCGUAAAGGGCGCGCAGGCGGUCUUCUAAGUCUGAUGUGAAAGCCCACGGCUUAACCGUGGAAGGUCAUUGGAAACUGGGGGACUUGAGUACAGAAGAGGAGAGUGGAAUUCCACGUGUAGCGGUGAAAUGCGUAGAGAUGUGGAGGAACACCAGUGGCGAAGGCGA
rnacentral:rRNA from 1 species